GAGAGUGGCCGAUAAUCCAUGGUUAAUGGUUCCCGAGGAUGAACAGAGCCAAAAUAUGUUUGAUCCUCAAAGAAAGUCACAUCAGCAAAAAUAUACUCUCGACGACGAGUAGGACUAUAACAUACAUACCCCUUUUGAGUACGGGAGUAUCCCACGAAUACACAUUUUUCAGCACGAGGUGAUAACUUGUACAAACCAGGAGACAAAGAAUGAACAAAACAGGCACAUCCAAAUAUACGAGGACGAAUAGACCAUAAUGGACGAUCGGGAUGAAGAAGAGUAUAAGGAAUAGCUCCUUUCAACACGGAGGAUGGAAGACGAUUAAUGAGAUGACAUGCUGUAAGAAGAGCAUAGCUCCAGAAAGACUUAGGCAUAUGAGUAUGAAGAAGUAGGCAACGUGCAACAUCCAACAAAUGACGGUUCUUACGUUCAGCAACUCCAUUUUGUUGUGGAGUGUGAGCA